AUGGGCUUCCCGGUCGGCUACUCCGAGCUUCUGCUCCCCAAGCAGCUGCUCCACCUCCUCCUCCUGCUCGGUUACCUCCGCCGCUUCCUCCUCUGGGCCUUCGACGCCGUCGGCCUCGGCGACCUGCUGGAUCUCGGGGACGAGCACCUGCCGCAGGACCACGCGCGCGCCGACCACGCCGCCGCGGCGGCGCAGCUGCUGCAGCACCGGCGGCCCGAGUUCCGGCCCGUCACGGCCAUGGUCAUCGAGGAGGUGCUCCCCGUGGUGCGGUUCGACGAGCUGGAGGCCGCGGCGUGCGUCGACGGGGACUGCGCCGUGUGCCUCAGCGGCAUCGGCGGCGGCGACGAGGUGCGGCGAGCUGCCUGGCCCCAGCCGUGUACAUAG
rnacentral:rRNA from 1 species